rfam:Dipodomys ordii contig_30563, whole genome shotgun sequence.
GGUGGCUUAGUGGUAGAGUGCUUGCCUAGCAUGCAUGAAGUCCUGGGUUCAAUUCCUCAGUACCA